rnacentral:rRNA from 1 species
AACGAACGUUAGCGGCGCGCCUAACACAUGCAAGUCGCACGAGAAAGGGCUUCGGCCCCGGUACAGUGGCGCACGGGUGAGUAACACGUGGGUAAUCUGCCUUCGAGCGGGGGAUAACAUUCCGAAAGGAGUGCUAAUACCGCAUAAGACCACGGCUUCGAAAGAAGCAGCGGUCAAAGCUGGCCUCUAUACAUAAGCUAGCACUCGAGGAUGAGCCCGCGGCGCAUCAGCUAGUUGGUGAGGUAAUGGCUCACCAAGGCGAAGACGCGUAGCUGGUCUGAGAGGAUGAUCAGCCACACUGGAACUGAGACACGGUCCAGACUCCUACGGGAGGCAGCAGUGGGGAAUCUUGCGCAAUGGGCGAAAGCCUGACGCAGCGACGCCGCGUGAGUGAUGAAGGCCUUCGGGUUGUAAAGCUCUGUGGGGAGAGACGAAUAAGUGCAGGCUAAUACCCUGCAUGAUGACGGUAUCUCCUUAGCAAGCACCGGCUAACUCUGUGCCAGCAGCCGCGGUAACAC